GUUAGCAGCUUAGCUUCCUAUCCAGCUAGACUGACAUUCUUACUGUUUCACUUCUCCCCUACAUUCCUUCCAUCACAUGGUAAUUUUCAGUGCAUGCAUGCACACAUCUGACCUGGAUAAGCCAGCUUUGAAAUGGCUGCAAAGAAUUUGUUGCAUUCUAGUCCUUCUGCUGUGGCUGCAGGCAAUCAGCAUUCAGGGGAGCCACGUCCACUUCUGCCAGAAAGCCUCCAAAGUGGUUGGGCACCUGACAGCUGAAUUCCUAGAAAAGAGAAGAAUUAACAGCAUAACUCUGCAAAGACAUGAUGGGAGAAAGAAAAACAAGAGGCCCAUUCCAAGCUGCUGUUUUUCUGUCCAGGAAGAACCUGAUCUGAACAAAGCACCACUUAGCAAACUUCCCUUCUUGAAGUAUAAAGUGCUGACUUCUUGCAUGGUGCACUUUGUGGUCUCCCAUAAUUUCCUUGAGCCUUGCUGGGGAUGAUGCAACCCUCAUAUCUGAUGCCAAGAUAGAAAUACGUCAGGACUACUUCAUUACAGCUGCUGAGAAUACCAAAAUGAGGCUCACACUAGUUACAGCUGUUAUUCUCACUUGAUAAACUUUGUAAGUGAUGUAUGUAUGCUAUGAAUACACAUAGUGUGUAUGAUGUGUGAUAUAAAUUACUGAAACUUGUUUUUUUUUUUUUUGGUAGCAAAGUGUUAGGAGAGACAGAAAUGAAAUUUAUGAACAUAUAUUUUUUAAGUUCAGUAAAAAUGUGUUGUACUAUUCUCUCUUCCCCACCUUUCACCACAUUUGAACAGCCAAAGGAAUAGAGCACAUGGUGGAUCUACUGUAGAGAGCAAAUCAUAGAUAUACAAAUUUAAGUUUGUGAACAAAACAUAAACAUAUGUUUGGAAUGGUCUACUCAGUUCCAAAACAAGCACAACAUAAGAUACUCAUAUUCUUGUGUCUGAACAGAAGGAAUUAGAAAAAAAAAAAGGGGGGGAGGGGGAGGAAGUACUGAAUUUUAUUUUAUUUUAUUUUAUUUUAUUUUAUUUUAUUUUAUUUUAUUUUAUUUUAUUUUAUUUUAUUAUUUAUUUUAUUUUAUUUUUGAUACAAGAGGAAAAACCUAGGAGCCUGUGUUGUCCUUGGUUCCCAACCUGUAACUUUGUUCUGAAACCAAGACCUCACAUUGUCCUUUUGAAAACAUCCAUUAAACUCUCUCAAGAACAGAACCUCUAUGAGGCUCAAGAACAAGGUAGUAAGAAUUGUGGAAAACCACAGAUUUAACCACAGCCUACUUCACACACACACUUGGGAGAACUGGUAUAGCUUUUAUCCUUGUGGGUACUUUCUAUGGUGUGACAUAUCAACAUAUUGACCAAUGUCUAAUGAGAUGUUUUAAAUGGAAAAGUAAGUUAUCAUAUCACCACAUUUCCUGUCAUCUUAGUUACACUCUGGACUUACUGUCACACUGUUGGCUUGCUG
rnacentral:lncRNA from 1 species